CUGCCGCGGCGCGCGCGCCGGACAGCCCCCGGAGGCAGGCCGGGAAAUGGAGUCUCCCUUCGCCUCGGCGGCCUGUGAGAACGGCGCCGCGGGGGGAGCGGCGGCACCGGGCGGCGAGGCCGCCUCAGGGAGAGAGAAACGCGGUCCCCCGGGCCUUUUCCCCGAGGGAAAAGGCAAGAAACCGCUCCCAGUGCGCUUGUGUUAUUAAAAGGCUGCUGAGGCGGAGGUUAUUGAGCUGAAUCAAGUCACAGAGGGGUCUAAAGAGUUCCAGAGCCUCUGAGGGAAAAAGAAUGGAAGCAGGAUCUUCUCAUUUCAUUAGCAGCAAGCCUCCAGAUUGUGUUACAGCAUUUCAGACCAAAAGGAGACCCUUUCAAAGUAUACAGCCUUUAAUCUGGAGAUAAAUAUAUGACCAGUUUGUAGCCCACAAUGGCUAGUGUGGCUG